GACGAACGCUGGCGGCGUGCCUAAUACAUGCAAGUUGAGCGCUGAAGGUUGGUACUUGUACCGACUGGAUGAGCAGCGAACGGGUGAGUAACGCGUGGGGAAUCUGCCUUUGAGCGGGGGACAACAAUUGGAAACGAAUGCUAAUACCGCAUAAAAACUUUAAACACAAGUUUUAAGUUUGAAAGAUGCAAUUGCAUCACUCAAAGAUGAUCCCGCGUUGUAUUAGCUAGUUGGUGAGGUAAAGGCUAACCAAGGCGAUGAUACAUAGCCGACCUGAGAGGGUGGUCGGCCAAAUUGGGGAUGGGGCACCGCCCAAGCUCCUUCGGGGGGGAGCAGGAGGGAAUCUUCGGAAAUGGGGGAAAGUCUGACCGAGCAACGGCGGGGGGGGGAAGAAGGUUUUCGGAGCGUAAAACUCUGUUUGUAGGGAAGAAAAUGGGUGAGGGUGAAACCCGCGGCAAGUGACGGUAACGAACGAAAAAGGGACGGCUAACUACGUG
rnacentral:rRNA from 1 species